rnacentral:rRNA from 1 species
UACGUAGGGGGCGAGCGUUGUCCGGAUUUAUUGGGCGUAAAGAGCUCGUAGGCGGUUCGGCAAGUCGACGGUGAAAUCUCCACGCUCAACGUGGAGGGGUCCGUCGAUACUGCUGUGACUCGAGUCCGGUAGGGGAGUGUGGAAUUCCCGGUGUAGCGGUGAAAUGCGCAGAGAUCGGGAGGAACACCCGUAGCGAAGGCGGCACUCUGGGCCGGUACUGACGCUGAGACGCGAAAGCGUGGGGAGCGAACAGG